GCGUCUGUGGUUCAACGGUAGAAUUGGUCGUUGCCACGAAAGCAUUCUCGACUAGACCGGGGUUCGACUCCCCGCGGACGCA